UGAGAUUUUAAUUUUGCCUUUUAUUCACAGUUCUCGUAAUAAGUUACAUAAAAAUGAAGUAAGCCGCCUGGACUCCCACGAGGAGGCUCAGCAUUCAUUUUUCCAUGUUGCAGAUGUUAGACAGGAGGCACGGAGACACGCACAGACCCAUUUGGAGAAGCGCAGGCUGCACCCAGGGGGAGUCACAGGUCCUCAGGCACUCUGGGACUCUGCAGCUAGAGACCAGGUGUCAGCCACAGGCAGAAAUGGGGCAUCCAGGACCCAGACGUACAUUGAAUGCUUAGAUCCUGUGUCCCCAGGUCAGCGUGGCAGGCACCUGGGUCAGCGGUAGCUGCAGCAGCAGCUCGGGUAUGUGUGAGUCGGAUUUGCAUAGCAGAGGGCAGUGUUCAGCAUUUUGGACAACAGCUAGCUAGCCCUUGCUGAAGAACAUGAUGAGAAAUGAUGGGGAGGGGGCAAGGUGGGAACCGUGCAUCAAGAGGCAAAGCUGCAAGCAGAGCUAGCGUAUUUUGUCUGUGGCUGUGUGUAUACACCAAAGUAGGUUUAAGCUCCAUACCACUGUGACAGGUCUCAAUCUAGUCAAGCAAGGAGGAACUUGAAAACCAUAAAUUUCUCCUGGCUGGGCGAAGACUGAAAGCGGCCAGCCCGUGUUCAGUUCUGAGUACUGCAAGCACUUUGCUACUGAUACACCACCCACCCAACCUAACACAAACCCUGUUGUGUGGAUGACACAACUGGCCAUACCCACGAGGUGACACUUCAGCCAUCUGUUCAAGGACCUUGCUAGACCUACUCACACGAGAAGCUUGUGUUUAUGCUUCACAUGACAACGGAAAAAAACAUAUUGCUGCCUCCUUCUGGGUCACCUCAAAGGAGCGUCUGCCCUAGCUUACAGCUCACCUGGACACAGCAGUACCCUAUUGAAGAGGGGACAUGGCCCAUCGUGCCUGUGCCCACCCGUUGUGCCUGUCCCCUGCUCCCCGAAGCACCGGCCGGGCCCAAGCCCCGCAGCCACGUCGGAGCGAGCAGGAGAAGCCCCGGAGCCGGGCGAGGCACGCCCCGCAGCCCCGGGGAUGAUCUUCCCCGAGGAAACAAGGACUGUUCCGAACUGGCCGGCGUCGAGCGCGCUCGAAGGGGCAGCCGCAGUUGGGCCGCGCCCCGCCUUCACACCCCGGCGCACCCCCACAGCCUCCUGUGGCCCCGCGGCUCCCCGCCGUGAUUCUCGUUCCAGAGGGGGAGGACGGUGACCCCCACCCCAAAGACAAACCCGCCGCCGAAGGAAGGCGACAAGCCCCCUCCGGCUCGGGGGCCGGGGCGAGGCGGCGAGGCCUCGCACACCUCCGGGCCGGGCGGCGGCAGAGCCCCGCGGCCGCCCAGCGCCGCCACCGCCGCGGCUUCUCGGGCAACAGCUACCCCUAGCGGCCGGAGCGCGCUCCGCGCCCCGCCUCCGCCUCGGGACAGCGCCCGCCGGCCCGCGCCCACCUGACACCCCCCGGCCCGGGCCCGGGCCGCACGCCGCGAGACGACAGCGUGCCCGCGCGCCGGGCGAGCGGCCGCCGCCCGUCCCGCCGCCGCUGGGGGAGGAUGCGGGCGCAGCGCGUCCGCGGGUUCGAGCCCCGGGUGCCCCCGCGGCGGCGGGGCGUGCGGCGGGGCGGAGGCCGUGCCCAGGGGCCACUGGGCCGGCGGGGCGGGGAGGGAAGCACGGGGAGGGACACGGCGAGGGCGGCCCGUCCCUGUCACCUGCAGGCGGCUGCCGGGACGGCCCCGGACCCCGCUGCCGCUCCGGCGCGGCGCCAGCCCCGCGCUCCCACAGCCAGUGCGGGGAGAACCGGGGUCGCGGACUGCGCCUGUUGCACUGCCCUUGGCGGGGCUGUUUGCAAGCGCCUGCCGCUAUCUGCGACCGGGAACCCCGGCGGUGCCCUAUCUCGGAGUCUGUGCCUGUGCCCGAUAGCGGCUGCUCCCUGCUUUGUUGCACGUCCCUCGCAGCUCCCGCCGGGGCUCUCUCCCCUUUUGUCUGUGUAUUUUUAGGUCAUUAGAGUGGAGGGGUAGGUAAUCCCCAGGCUCAAGUUCCAGAGGGGCGGGUUCUGGCCGGAGGUGGAGUCACUUUUCAUUUAAAUCCCUGACUAUAAAAUGGGCUUAAAGAGAAGCGGGAUCUCAGCUGUGCUGCACAGACCCCAGCAAGCAGGGUGCGUGGAGACCCCCCCGGCAGCCAGCGCCCUGCAGCAUAAGCCGCUACGAUGCUCCACUCCCUUGGCGUUCACACCUUGCAGCUGCUCACCCAGGCGGCCGCCUGCAUCCUCCUCUUCCCCCGCUUCCUGCUCACCGCCGUGAUGCUCUGGCUCCUGGAUUUUCUGU
ensembl:lncRNA